UAAUGGAAGGAUACACCCUAAGAUAGAUGCGC
rnacentral:piRNA from 1 species